rnacentral:tRNA from 1 species
AUAUAGCUCAGAGGUAGAGCACUUGCCUAAUACGCAUAAAGCCCUGGAUUUAAUCCCUAGUAU